rnacentral:rRNA from 1 species
AUUGAACGCUGGCGGCAUGCCUUACACAUGCAAGUCGAACGGUAACAGGUCUUCGGAUGCUGACGAGUGGCGAACGGGUGAGUAAUACAUCGGAACGUGCCCAGACGUGGGGGAUAACGAGGCGAAAGCUUUGCUAAUACCGCAUACGAUCUAAGGGUGAAAGCAGGGGACCGCAAGGCCUUGUGCGUUUGGAGCUGCCGAUGGCAGAUUAGGUAGUUGGUGGGAUAAAAGCUUACCAAGCCGACGAUCUGUAGCUGGUCUGAGAGGACGACCAGCCACACUGGGACUGAGACACGGCCCAGACUCCUACGGGAGGCAGCAGUGGGGAAUUUUGGACAAUGGGCGAAAGCCUGAUCCAGCAAUGCCGCGUGCAGGAUGAAGGCCUUCGGGUUGUAAACUGCUUUUGUACGGAACGAAAAGGAUCUGGCUAAUACCUGGGGCACAUGACGGUACCGUAAGAAUAAGCACCGGCUAACUACGUG